rnacentral:rRNA from 1 species
GAGUCCGAUUAGCCAUGCUAGUUGUGCGGGUUUAGACCCGCAGCGAAAGGCUCAGUAACACGUGCCCAGGCUACCCCUGUGGACGGGGAAUACUCUCGGGAAACUGAGGCUAAUCCCCCGAUAACGCUUUGCUCCUGAAGGGGCCAAGCCGGAAACGCUCCGGCGCCACAGGAUGCGGCUGCGGUCGAUUAGGUAGACGGUGGGGUAACGGCCCACCGUGCCCAUAAUCGGUACGGGUUGUGAGAGCAAGAGCCCGGAGACGGAAUCUGAGACAAGAUUCCGGGCCCUACGGGGCGCAGCAGGCGCGAAACCUUUACACUGUACGAAAGUGCGAUAAGGGGACUCCGAGUGUGAAGGCAUAGAGCCUUCACUUUUGUACACCGUAAGGUGGUGCACGAAUAAGGACUGGGCAAGACCGGUGCCAGCCGCCGCGGUAAUACCGGCAGUCCGAGUGAUGGCCGAUCUUAUUGGGCCUAAAGCGUCCGUAGCUGGCUGAACAAGUCCGUUGGGAAAUCUGUCCGCUUAACGGGCAGGCGUCCAGCGGAAACUGUUCAGCUUGGGACCGGAAGACCUGAGGGGUACGUCUGGGGUAGGAGUGAAAUCCUGUAAUCCUGGACGGACCGCCGGUGGCGAAAGCGCCUCAGGAGAACGGAUCCGACAGUGAGGGACGAAAGCUAGGGUCUCGAACCGGAUUAGAUACCCGGGUAGUCCUAGCUGUAAACGAUGUCCGCUAGGUGUGGCGCAGGCUACGAGCCUGCGCUGUGCCGUAGGGAAGCCGAGAAGCGGACCGCCUGGGAAGUACGUCUGCAAGGAUGAAACUUAAAGGAAUUGGCGGGGGAGCACUACAACCGGAGGAGCCUGCGGUUUAAUUGGACUCAACGCCGGACAUCUCACCAGCCCCGACAGUAGUAAUGACGGUCAGGUUGAUGACCUUACCCGAGGCUACUGAGAGGAGGUGCAUGGCCGCCGUCAGCUCGUACCGUGAGGCGUCCUGUUAAGUCAGGCAACGAGCGAGACCCGCACUCCUAAUUGCCAGCAGUACCCUUUGGGUAGCUGGGUACAUUAGGUGGACUGCCGCUGCCAAAGCGGAGGAAGGAACGGGCAACGGUAGGUCAGUAUGCCCCGAAUGGGCUGGGCAACACGCGGGCUACAAUGGUCGAGACAAUGGGAAGCCACUCCGAGAGGAGGCGCUAAUCUCCUAAACUCGAUCGUAGUUCGGAUUGAGGGCUGAAACUCGCCCUCAUGAAGCUGGAUUCGGUAGUAAUCGCGUGUCAGCAGCGCGCGGUGAAUACGUCCCUGCUCCUUGCACACACCGCCCGUCAAAUCACCCGAGUGGGGUUCGGAUGAGGCCGGCAUGCGCUGGUCAAAUCUGAGCUCCGCAAGGGGGAUUAAGUCGUAACAAGGUAGCCGUAGGCGAAUCUGCGGCUGGAUCACCUCCU